rnacentral:rRNA from 1 species
UGGGGAAUAUUGGACAAUGGGCGAAAGCCUGAUCCAGCCAUGCCGCGUGUGUGAAGAAGGUCUUCGGAUUGUAAAGCACUUUAAGUUGGGAGGAAGGGCAGUAAGCGAAUACCUUGCUGUUUUGACGUUACCGACAGAAUAAGCACCGGCUAACUCUGUGCCAGCAGCCGCGGUAAUACAGAGGGUGCAAGCGUUAAUCGGAAUUACUGGGCGUAAAGCGCGCGUAGGUGGUUCGUUAAGUUGAAUGUGAAAGCCCCGGGCUCAACCUGGGAAAUGCAUCCAAAAAUGGAGUGCUAGAGUAGGGCAGAGGAUGGUGGAAUUUCCUGUGUAGCGGUGAAAUGAGUAGAUAUAGGAAGGAACACCAGUGGCGAAGGCGACCACCUGGGCUCAUACUGACACUGAGGUGCGAAAGCGUGGGGAGCAAACAGG